UGGGGAAUUUUGGACAAUGGGCGAAAGCCUGAUCCAGCAAUGCCGCGUGUGUGAAGAAGGCCUUCGGGUUGUAAAGCACUUUUGUCCGGAAAGAAAUCCUUGGCUCUAAUACAGUCGGGGGAUGACGGUACCGGAAGAAUAAGCACCGGCUAACUACGUGCCAGCAGCCGCGGUAAUACGUAGGGUGCAAGCGUUAAUCGGAAUUACUGGGCGUAAAGCGUGCGCAGGCGGUUUGCUAAGACCGAUGUGAAAUCCCCGGGGCUCAACCUGGGAACUGCAUUGGUGACUGGCAGGCUAGAGUAUGGCAGAGGGGGGUAGAAUUCCACGUGUAGCAGUGAAAUGCGUAGAGAUGUGGAGGAAUACCGAUGGCGAAGGCAGCCCCCUGGGGCCAAUACUGACGCUCAUGCACGAAAGCGUGGGGAGCAAACAGGAUUAGAUACCCUGGUAGUCCACGCCCUAAACGAUGUCAACUAGUUGUUGGGGGAUUCAUUUUCCUUAGUAACGUAGCUAACGCGU
rnacentral:rRNA from 1 species